GGGGAUUUAGCUCAGCGGCAUAAGCGCCUGCCUUGCAAGCAGGCAGUCUUGAGUUCAGUCCCCG
rfam:Cavia porcellus supercont2_2 genomic scaffold, whole genome shotgun sequence.